GAUUCGCGGCCUAUCAGCUUGUUGGUGAGGUAAUGGCUCACCAAGGCAACGACGGGUAGCCGGCCUGAGAGGGCGACCGGCCACACUGGGACUGAGACACGGCCCAGACUCCUACGGGAGGCAGCAGUGGGGAAUAUUGGGCAAUGGAGGAAACUCUGACCCAGCGACGCCGCGUGCGGGAUGAAGACCUUCGGGUUGUAAACCGCUUUCAGUAGGGAAGAAGCGAAAGUGACGGUACCUACAAAAGAAGCACCGGCUAACUAUGUGCCAGCAGCCGCGGUAAUACAUAGGGUGCAAGCGUUGUCCGGAAUUAUUGGGCGUAAAGAGCUCGUAGGUCGUUUGUUACGUCGGAUGUGAAAACCUGAGGCUCAACCUCAGGCCUGCAUUCGAUACGGGCAAACUAGAGUGCGGUAGGGGAGAUGGGAAUUCCUGGUGUAGCGGUGGAAUGCGCAGAUAUCAGGAGGAACACCGAUGGCGAAGGCACAUCUCUGGGCCGUAACUGACGCUGAGGAGCGAAAGCGUGGGGAGCGAACAGGAUUAGAUACCCUGGUAGUCCACGCCGUAAACGGUGGGUGCUAGUUGUGGGCCACAUUCCACGUGGUCCGUGACGAAGUUAACACAUUAAGCACCC
rnacentral:rRNA from 1 species